rnacentral:rRNA from 1 species
UACGUAGGGACCGAGCGUUGUCCGGAUUUAUUGGGCGUAAAGAGCGUGUAGGCGGCCAGGUAGGUCUGCUGUGAAAACUCGAGGCUUAACCUCGAGCUGUCGGCGGAAACCAUCUGGCUAGAGUCCGGAAGAGGAGAAUGGAAUUCCCGGUGUAGCGGUGAAAUGCGCAGAUAUCGGGAAGAACACCCGUAGCGAAGGCGGUUCUCUGGGACGGUACUGACGCUGAGACGCGAAAGCAUGGGGAGCGAACAGG